AAACUAACAAGGAUUCCCCUAGUAACGGCGAGUGAAGCGGGAAGAGCUCAAAUUUGUAAUCUGGCACUUUCAGUGUCCGAGUUGUAAUCUCGAGAAGUAUUUUCCGCGCCGGACCGCAUACAAGUCUGUUGGAAUACAGCGUCAUAGUGGUGAGAACCCCGUAACUGAUGCGGAUGCCCGGUGCUUUGUGAUAUACUUUCGAAGAGUCGAGUUGUUUGGGAAUGCAGCUCAAAUUGGGUGGUAAAUUCCAUCUAAAGCUAAAUAUUGGAGCAAGACCGAUAGCGAACAAGUACCGUGAGGGAAAGAUGAAAAGCACUUUGGAAAGAGAGUUAACAGUACGUGAAAUUGUUGGAAGGGAAACGCUUGAAGUCAGACUUGCUAUUCGGAGUUCAGCCGCAAGGUGUAUUCUUCGAUUUGCAGGCCAGCAUCAGUUUUUGGGGGUGGAAAAUCGUGGUUUGAAGGUAGCAGCUUCGGCUGUGUUAUAGCUUUCCACUGGAUUCAUCUUCGGGACUGAGGAACGCAGUACGCUUUUUGCAAGGCUUUCGAGCUUUCGUACUUAGGAUGCUGUGAUGCUUUAAACGAC
rnacentral:rRNA from 1 species